CUACCAGACUCCUACGGGAGGCAGCAGUGGGGAAUAUUGCACAAUGGGGGAAACCCUGAUGCAGCGACGCCGCGUGAGUGAAGAAGUAUUUCGGUAUGUAAAGCUCUAUCAGCAGGAACGAGACAAGACGGUACCUGACUAAGAAGCCCCAGCUAACUACGUGCCAGCAGCCGCGGUAAUACGUAGGGGGCAAGCGUUAUCCGGAAUCACUGGGUGUAAAGGGAGCGUAGACGGCUGUGCAAGCCUGAAGUGAAAGGCGGGGGCCCAACCCCCGGACUGCUUUGGAAACUGUAUAACUGGAGUGCAGGAGAGGUAAGUGGAAUUCCUAGUGUAGCGGUGAAAUGCGUAGAUAUUAGGAGGAACACCAGUGGCGAAGGCGGCUUACUGGACAGUAACUGACGUUGAGGCUCGAAAGCGUGGGGAGCAAACAGGAUUAGAUACCCGGGUA
rnacentral:rRNA from 1 species